rnacentral:rRNA from 1 species
AUUGAACGCUGGCGGCAGGCCUAACACAUGCAAGUCGAACGUGUGGCGGACGUGUGUGUAAUGUCUGGGAACCUGCCUGCUGGAGGGGGAUACCUACUGGAAACGGUAGCUAAUACCGCAUACCAUCGGAUGUGCCCAGAUGGGCUUAGCUUGUUUGUUGGGUAACGGCUCACCAAGGCGACGAUCCCUAGCUGGGCUGAGAGGAUGACCAGCCACACUGGAACUGAGACACGGGCCAGACUCCUACGUGAGGCAGCAGUGGGGAAUAUUGCACAAUGGGCGCAAGCCUGAUGCAGCCAUGCCGCGUGUGUGAAGAAGGUCUUCGGAUUGUAAAGCACUUUAAGUUGGGAGGCGUUACCAACAGAAUAAGCACCGGCUAACUUCGUGCCAGCAGCCGCGGUAAUAC